UGGGGAAUAUUGCACAAUGGGCGCAAGCCUGAUGCAGCCAUGCCGCGUGUAUGAAGAAGGCCUUCGGGUUGUAAAGUACUUUCAGCGGGGAGGAAGGUGUUGAGGUUAAUAACCUCAGCAAUUGACGUUACCCGCAGAAGAAGCACCAGCUAACUCCGUGCCAGCAGCCGCGGUAAUACGGAGGGUGCAAGCGUUAAUCGGAGUUACUGGGCGUAAAGCGCACGCAGGCGGUCUGUCAAGUCGGAUGUGAAAUCCCCGGGCUCAACCUGGGAACUGCAUUCGAAACUGGCAGGCUAGAGUCUUGUAGAGGGGGGUAGAAUUCCAGGUGUAGCGGUGAAAUGCGUAGAGAUCUGGAGGAAUACCGGUGGCGAAGGCGGCCCCCUGGACAAAGACUGACGCUCAGGUGCGAAAGCGUGGGGAGCAAACA
rnacentral:rRNA from 1 species